CGCUUGCGUCCGUAGUCCGUGCUGGUCCGUGCCUCCGUGAUUCUUCGUCGUGUUCGUUGUUCGUCGUUGUGGUAGUCACGGUCGGGAGUUCGCGAGUCAGCGUGCGUCAGUGAGCGUGCACCAGUAGAAUAGGACUUAUUGAAUAACAUUAAAUCAUAGAAAGUGAGCGAAAGUGAUACGUAUAUACGUAGGAAGAAAGACACACGGGAGAGUGCCAUGAUAAAUUUGGUUGAACGUCGCGCGACUUCGAUAAAGAGUUGGUAAUAAGAGAAAAAGGUGCGCUCGCGACGAAGAGUGUCGCAGUGAAGUGUAUCACGAUUGGUGAAUCUUAGACGGCCAUAAUUGUGCGCCAUUCGGUCUCCGGUGCGGAUCCGCGCAGCGAAAGGGCAGAUGCCCUUACGCGGUUCGUGCUCCCAUUGGUGGGUACGCGCUGAUCUAUCCGGAUCGACAUACUUGGCGAGAUCCGGUAGUGUUCGCCGUGGCUUAUUUACGGGUUCAGUAAAUUCGCCGAAUAUAAGGACGAACGGCCAGCCGCCACCUGCGAGGGCCGAAUCUCUUAACAGCCCGUUGCUGGUUAGUAGUCGUAGUCGGUGUGAUUUCUGUCUAGCAGCAACGGUAGCAGCAAUCGCAGCGCCGUCAACAACACGACGACAACGACAACGACGACAGCAGCGCCAUCGUCAGCGCGACCGCCAUCGCAGCGACGGAGAAACAGUAUUCCUUUGAGGAGAGAAAGAAGAAAUGCCUGUAGGUCUGCGAUCGGUGACGCGACCAAAGAUGGAGGCCCUGUCCAGUUUGUAACACGGCAGCCAGGUCUCGUUUUAAAAGCGCACCAACGGGAGCCCACCGAGAGCCCGCUCCUCGAGUCGGCUGCCUUAAACUCGCCUUUUGCCCCGUGCUACUUUUCUUCGUGAGCCCCGCGAGGCUGGACGAUGGAGCUACGUGUUGGGAAUAAGUACCGGCUCGGACGGAAAAUCGGGAGCGGCUCCUUCGGCGACAUUUAUCUAGGUACCAAUAUCUCCACCGGCGAGGAAGUCGCCAUUAAACUAGAAUGUAUAAAAACGCGGCAUCCACAAUUACAUAUAGAAUCAAAAUUCUACAGGAUGAUGCAAAGUGGUGUUGGUAUACCAACUAUAAAAUGGUGUGGCUCAGAAGGUGACUACAAUGUAAUGGUGAUGGAACUACUUGGCCCCUCACUGGAGGAUUUGUUCAAUUUUUGUCAAAGAAGAUUUUCUCUGAAAACAGUGUUACUUCUCGCUGAUCAGUUGAUAAGUAGAACGGAUUAUAUUCACAGUCGCAACUUUAUCCAUCGAGAUAUCAAGCCGGAUAAUUUCUUGAUGGGCUUGGGUAAGAAGGGAAAUCUCGUAUAUAUUAUAGACUUCGGUUUAGCUAAAAAAUACCGCGAUGGCCGUACUCACAAGCACAUACCGUAUCGAGAAAACAAGAAUUUAACAGGAACAGCCAGAUACGCGAGUAUAAAUACACAUCUGGGAAUUGAACAAUCGCGGCGGGACGAUCUCGAAUCGUUAGGAUACGUUCUCAUGUACUUCAACAGAGGUAGCUUACCCUGGCAAGGUUUGAAAGCGGCGACUAAAAGACAAAAGUACGAACGUAUCUCCGAAAAGAAAAUGUCCACACCUGUAGAAGAACUGUGCAAGGGUUAUCCCGUAGAGUUUGCGUCAUACCUGAGGUAUUGUCGAGGACUGCGAUUCGAGGAAAGACCCGAUUAUUCGUAUCUCCGACAACUCUUCCGGACGUUGUUCCACGGACAGGGUUUCACCUACGACUACGUAUUCGAUUGGAAUAUGAUGAAAUUUGGCAAUAUGAGGCAACAAACUUUGUCCUCGACACAACAAACACCGAUGCAGCCGCAACACACGAACGCGGCGCUGCCUUCUGGGACCAAUAACGAUCAGGAACAUCGAUCCAGGCCCUAUACACGGCAGUGUAUGCCAAACAUAUCAAAGGUAGCGGUGGGCCAGACCGUAGGUGGAACGACCACGAAUCUGAGAAACAUGCGGCAGAAACGCGAAGCGAUAGAAGCUCUUCGCGAUCAGGACAAUCAGGAGAGGGAUCUUCAAGCGUCGGGCACGGGAGGCCAGGAGCGAAGGGUCAGUAUGAGGUCGCACCGUAGGGAUGCAAUUGCUGGAGAGAUGCAACCGAAGACCAAGUAACCGAAAGCUAAGACACUAAUUCUAAAUCGCAAAAAUAGGCAAAGAGGGGGCGAAAGUAAUCUCCUGUGCCACGGUAACGAACACCGGCGCAAAAAAACUGAAAAGUCGUGGAUCAAAAAGCAUAGAGAAAACGAAAAUCGUGCAAAACGAAACAAAAACAAAUAACUAAAAGAACAGCAGGAAGGCGUGUUCGCUUUGCGAUCCUUCUCUCCGACCUCUCUCGGUAGCCCUGUCGCGCGAGCCUCGGAAUUAUAAAGCCUCUCGCUUCUCGAAUCCUUUGCUUUCGAGCGUUCGGUUCUACCACGUCUUGUACACCACAUCAGACACCACACGAUAGACUGCGUAUUCUCUCGCCUUAUCUCGAAUCAAAGAUUUGCUCCCGACACUUCGUUCAUCCAUUUUCAAAAUGAUCGACUUCUGCUUUCGUAUCGUCAUCCGUGGAAAGGAGGAGACGUCCGUCGAACGAGACACGCGACUCCUUCGUGGAACCGACGAUUUCUUGAAUGGGAAAGAGAAAGGAACAAGAACGACGACUCGCGACUAUGAAACGUGUGUAAAAAAAAAGCGGACGCCGAGACAGGAAAUAGAUGUAAAGAGUCGGUGAUUAAAAUUCUGUUGAGAAAACUGCGCAGGGAAUGAACUGGACAAAGAGAGACGGAGAAACGGGCUGAACACCAGAGAGGAGGAGAGACAGAGGAGGAGAGAGCAAAGGUCUCGGUCGUGUUUCGCGAUGCGCUAACGUCCGUAUUUCGUGUGUCUUAUUCCAAAAGCACCAAUGAAACGGCCUCAUCGGAUUUGACGAGCAGUCAACACAAGUGAAUCAACUCUUCUUCUUACACUCGUCUUCGUCGUCACCAUCUCUCUUUCGAUAAUGUCGACAAGAAUGAUCAUCGCGGGCAAUGUCAUCAUUAUAAUGACCAAUUCGAUGAGAGACGUCAGCCGAAUUCUAUCCAAAGAUCGGAACGAUCUUUUUAAACUAAAAGUGGAAUUCGUAACUCGUGGAGCUUCUCGUCGAUUGGUGCAUCCAUAGGAGCACGAUCGUUAAUGAGAAAUAGCUUCGGACGAAAUGUUAGAUCGAAGCGGUGAAGAAGACGUGCUUGACUUUACCAAAGCUGAAAAGACGCCAUCCGAUGAAAGGCAAAUCUUGGUGUCCGAGUCAAUCACGAAGCUGACGAUCUUGAAACGUGUGCUGCGAUAUGAUAAUUCGCGAACGAACUCGUUGCACCGAGAGGAUCCUUCCACGAGGCGUUGUUUAGAGAUAGAAGAACGAUGCGCUGUAUGGAGUUUUAAUGAUCUUGAGGAUUAAUUGCGAGUGUACAGUACGCGAAUUCGAUUAUGGUACAUAUGGAUAAUUUUCGUCGCUGUGAUUUUGAGAAACUAAGCGAAAAUUGUUUGUAUUCUUGGAGACCAUGCGUCCUUCUGUCAGAUACCCUUUCGCCUAAAGGAGUAUUCCCACUUACAAUAUUUGCAAUGGACAGCUGUAAGAGACGAGCGACCAGUAACGUUUUAAGGGGCUUCGAAGGCAGCGAGCACAUGAAAAUCAGUGCCAUAGUCGGAAAUCAGCGGGAUCCGCUGGGGCACCCAGCUUUUACAUACUUUUCUCUAUACUUCGCACUUCCGACUACGGCACUAAUAGGUCACUCGUUCCCUAGGACUGUCCCUUGCGAAUAUCGUAAAUCGGAAUAGUUCUUGAGACUCCCUUUCGGAUUAGGCUCGAGUCUCUGGUCCUUAGGUUUACGAUCGACGUGGAUCGGAGGAACCGGCGAUCGAGCGCACUGUAUAAAACGUGUAGAUUAUUCUCCUCAUCCUAAAGCACGAUUUGUACAUAGACAAAAUCGGCAUCGGAGACUGGAAGACGGGUCUCGGACGAAAAUUGCGAACGCGCAAAACCAGCCGGAGAGAACCGCGAAAGUCAAGUCGAACCGUUCGCACGAUCCGAUUACCUGUGAGACCAACUCGAAGGAGACUGCUCCGAGUCAGGAUCCAUUGCGUUUGCGCUCUCGACGGUCGUACAGAACCUGUAUAUAGCGGGAUUAUUUGCCGAACUGCAGAGAAAAGAGAUCAGACGACUAAAGCUGUAAGGUUGAUGAAAAAAAGCACGAGCGGCUAACUGAUCGACUAAGCGUCUAGGCUACCCACGGAUUUAAUCGUCGAGUUUGUAGUCCGUUUGGCGGAAGUAUGUGGUGGCGAACGCCUAUAAUAUCCGGAACGGCGAGCGUAAACGAGUCCGAGUGUGUUGUUCAAUUGUGCUAAUCGGAUCUUUCCUUUCUAAGGACCCUCUCUUCGUUCUUUCCUUGGAGUCGAGUUCUCGCUAUAGACUUAAAAAAGAAAAAGAACGAAUAUAACAUCGACGCUUUUCACCACACGCGUCUUUAAAGUUUUUCUAAGUCGCGUGUGUUGUGCGUGUACGAUGUUCGAGGAUGGCAAGAGAGCGUACAAUUUGAGAGAGAGAGAAAAAAAUAAUUUAAUCCGAGAAACAGCCCUGCGCUUGAUCGAAAUACACGGUUUGAAAAAAAAGAUGAUAGCAGAGAAAGUAACGUGGUAUUGUUAUUGCGUAUGAGCGACGAGAAAGAAAAAGAGAACGAAGUAUAAAUUUGCGGAUAUUUAAUCUAUCAUUCGUGGCUACGAUCGUCGACCCACUGGCACGCUACUUUUUCCUCCUUAAGAGGAAUUUUUUUCUUUUUGUACGAGAUAAUCGUCGUACUUCCUCCCUCCUCCCGGUGGCGAUUUCCGGUCGGAGGAACGAAGGAAUUCUCCAGUGGGUCGAUCGGGAAUAAUGAAAAUUAAGCUUGCAAAUAUCUCAGCAUUCUCGAUGUGAGUUCGUUAACUCCUAAACUGAAGUGCAAUUGUAAAAAAAAAAGAAGAAAAACAAGGAAAAGAAAAAAUCGAUGAUCGUCGUUGUCCGUUUGCUUGUUCGUCUAUCAGUUAUUAUCAGUGUAACCACAAAUGCAGCGAGCAUUGCGUGAAUUGUACCAAGUUUCUUUUCCGGUGUUCGAAGUAACUUCCUUUUCUUUUUUCGUCUUCUUCUUUUUUGGUAGCCGGGCGCACGUUGCUUCGAAGUUAAUCCUUUAUGUAACGGGCGUAGAUCUGUGCGGACGGCACCAUGAACGACGGAGACGCGCGAUUUCACGGGUGGCAGGAAAUAAUAAUCAAAAUAAUAGGCAGCUAUUUAAUAAACGCCGAAUUCUCUGGAGAUACCGAGUAGCGCAGCGUACGAUGGUGCAUCGAGCAAACAACGUUUCUACGUGUUUAACCGAUUUUAAUACUUGUACCCUUAUCGAACCGUAGGAUAGUGAUUCUUAAUCUGCGACGUGUAAUCAUGUAUUUUUUGAAGUUCGAACGGAAGAAACAAACUGCUGGUCUGUAAUUAAUUUUUUAUACACGUAACACGAUGCGAGGAGAUACAGUAUCUCUUUGAGAGAAGCGAAAAUGAUGGAUUGUCCGGUUUACUUGUCACAUUCACCUUUCUUUCCUCCUCUCUCUUUUUUUUACUUACAACAUAUCGUUUCAUUUUCGUCGAGUGGUUGCGAAACGAUUAAGAAUCGCUGGCAUAAAGGGUUAAUUUGAAAAGAAAUGCCACGCUCGUAGCGUCGACCGCGAAAGCCGGCGCGAAUAGUCGAGCGUGUACGAGAGUCGAGUCAAAAUGCAACGUGUGUCUGAUCAGUUCUCUGAACGUCUCCUUCCGUACAGGCAGUCUGAUUUCGCGUUUUUCUCCGCCACUUUUAUGUUCACUGUAGGAAUUCGUGUAAUUACCGAUUAGGAAGAGCCGAAAACGAAACUGUUUGUUUUAGACCGGAAAUGGCGACGGCCGGGGAGCCCUGGUGAAACGGAUCCGUGGCUCGUCUCAAAUAUUUUCGGAGAAUAACGAGUUUUCUUUCAGCGACGAGCGUCGUUCGCCGUUUCUCGGCGCUCCCCGCCGGUCGCUCGCCAAAUUCUAGUUAAAUAAUAAAAAAAAAGAAGAAACGAGGCAUUUUUUAAAUUAAACGAGAUAAACGAA